rnacentral:rRNA from 1 species
AGUGAACGCUGGCGGUAGGCCUAACACAUGCAAGUCGAACGGCAGCACAGUAAGAGCUUGCUCUUACGGGUGGCGAGUGGCGGACGGGUGAGGAAUACAUCGGAAUCUACUUUUUCGUGGGGGAUAACGUAGGGAAACUUACGCUAAUACCGCAUACGACCUACGGGUGAAAGCAGGGGAUCUUCGGACCUUGCGCGAUUGAAUGAGCCGAUGUCGGAUUAGCUAGUUGGCGGGGUAAAGGCCCACCAAGGCGACGAUCCGUAGCUGGUCUGAGAGGAUGAUACGCCACAAGGGAACUGAGACAAGGUCCAAACUCCUAAGGGAGGCAGAAGUGGGGAAUAUUGGACAAUGGGCGCAAGACUGAUACAGACAUCCCGCGUAGGUAAAGAAGGCCUUCGGGUUGUAAAGACAUUUUGUUGGGAAAGAAAAGCAGCAGGUUAAGACCCAGAUGUUCUGACGGUACACAAAGAAUAAGCUCCGGCUAACUUCGUG